AGCAGCCGCGGUAAUUCCAGCUCCAAUAGCGUAUAUUAAAGUUGUUGCAGUUAAAAAGCUCGUAGUUGAAUUUCGGGAUUGACACAUCGGUCGUGCCUUAAGGGGUAUGAACUGGUGUAGUCAAUUUCUCACCUUCUGGAGAACGGCGAUGCCCUUAAUUGGGUGUCGCGGGGAACCAGGACCUUUACUUUGAAAAAAUUAGAGUGUUUAAAGCAGGCAUUUUGCUUGAAUACAUUAGCAUGGAAUAAUAAAAUAGGACGGCAUGAUUCUAUUUUGUUGGUUUCUAGGAUCACCGUAAUGAUUAAUAGGGAUAGUUGGGGGCAUUAGUAUUCAAUUGUCAGAGGUGAAAUUCUUGGAUUUAUUGAAGACUAACUACUGCGAAAGCAUUUGCCAAGGAUGUUUUCAUUAAUCAAGAACGAAAGUUAGGGGAUCGAAGACGAUCAGAUACCGUCGUAGUCUUAACCAUAAACUAUGCCGACUAGGAAUCAGACGAUGUUAAAAAAAUGACGCGCUCGGCACCUCAUG
rnacentral:rRNA from 1 species